CAGGUCUAGACAUCUAGUGCAAUCUGUAGAGAUACGGAGUUCCCUUCGGGGACGCAAAGACAGGUGGUGCAUGGCUGUCGUCAGCUCGUGUCGUGAGAUGUUGGGUUAAGUCCCGCAACGAGCGCAACCCUUGUUAUUAGUUGCCAGCAUUAAGUUGGGCACUCUAAUGAGACUGCCGGUGACAAACCGGAGGAAGGUGGGGAUGACGUCAAGUCAUCAUGCCCCUUAUGACCUGGGCUACACACGUGCUACAAUGGGCAGUACAACGAGAAGCAAGCCUGCGAAGGCAAGCGAAUCUCUGAAAGCUGUUCUCAGUUCGGACUGCAGUCUGCAACUCGACUGCACGAAGCUGGAAUCGCUAGUAAUCGCGGAUCAGCACGCCGCGGUGAAUACGUUCCCGGGCCUUGUACACACCGCCCGUCACACCAUGGGAGUCAGCAAUGCCCAAAGGCGGUG
rnacentral:rRNA from 1 species